GAUUUCAACUGAAAAAGUCAUGAACAACAAAGUUGUAUAACUCAUCAAGAUCUAUAACUUUUAUUUUGGUUAUUUCUUUAUCCGAUAAAGUGAUAGUAACAUUGUUCAUAAAAUUCACAUACCUCUCAUCUGGUUUUAUAAACUAUAACACAGAUAUGUCAAUUUUGUGAACAAUAUUACUAACACUUUGUCGGAUGAAGAAAUAACAAAAAUAAAAGUUAUAGAUCUUAAUGAGUUAUACAACUUUGUUGUUGAUGACUUUUUUAGUUGAAAUC
rnacentral:pre_miRNA from 1 species